UGGGGAAUUUUGGACAAUGGGCGAAAGCCUGAUCCAGCAAUGCCGCGUGUGUGAAGAAGGCCUUCGGGUUGUAAAGCACUUUUUGUCCGGAAAAGAAAUCCUUGGCUCUAAUACAGUCGGGGGAUGACGGUACCGGAAGAAUAAGCACCGGCUAACUACGUGCCAGCAGCCGCGGUAAUACGUAGGGUGCAAGCGUUAAUCGGAAUUACUGGGCGUAAAGCGUGCGCAGGCGGUUUGCUAAGACCGAUNUGAAAUCCCGGGCUCAACCUGGGAACUGCAUUGGUGACUGGCAGGCUAGAGUAUGGCAGAGGGGGGUAGAAUUCCACGUGUAGCAGUGAAAUGCGUAGAGAUGUGGAGGAAUACCGAUGGCGAGGCAGCCCCCUGGGCCAAUACUGACGCUCAUGCACGAAAGCGUGGGGAGCAAAACAGGAUUAGAUACCCUGGUAGUCCACGCCCUAAAANGAUGUCAACUAGUUGUUGGGGAUUCAUUUCCUUAGUAACUAGCUAACGCGUGAAGUUGACCGCCUGGGGAGUAGUCGCAAGAUUAAAACUUAAAUGAAUUG
rnacentral:rRNA from 1 species